rnacentral:rRNA from 1 species
AUUGAACGCUGGCGGCAUGCCUUACACAUGCAAGUCGAACGGUAACAGGUCUUCGGAUGCUGACGAGUGGCGAACGGGUGAGUAAUACAUCGGAACGUGCCCGAUCGUGGGGGAUAACGAGGCGAAAGCUUUGCUAAUACCGCAUACGAUCUACGGAUGAAAGCGGGGGAUCUUCGGACCUCGCGCGGACGGAGCGGCCGAUGGCAGAUUAGGUAGUUGGUGGGAUAAAAGCUUACCAAGCCGACGAUCUGUAGCUGGUCUGAGAGGAUGAUCAGCCACACUGGGACUGAGACACGGCCCAGACUCCUACGGGAGGCAGCAGUGGGGAAUUUUGGACAAUGGGCGAAAGCCUGAUCCAGCCAUGCCGCGUGCAGGAUGAAGGCCUUCGGGUUGUAAACUGCUUUUGUACGGAACGAAAAGCCUCUUUCUAAUAAAGAAGGGUCAUGACGGUACCGUAAGAAUAAGCACCGGCUAACUACGUG